GCUGAACUUAAGCAUAUCAAUAAGCGGAGGAAAAGAAACCAACAGGGAUUGCCUCAGUAACGGCGAGUGAAGCGGCAAAAGCUCAGAUUUGAAAUCUGGCGUCAUUUUGGCGUCCGAGUUGUAAUCUGUAGAGGAGUAUUCGAGUGUGGAUUUGGCUUAAGUUCCUUGGAACAGGACGUCAUAGAGGGUGAGAACCCCGUUAACGGCCUAUGUCUUAUGCUCAUGUGAAUCUCCUUCAACGAGUCGAGUUGUUUGGGAAUGCAGCUCUAAAUGGGUGGUAAAUUCCAUCUAAAGCUAAAUACUGGCAAGAGACCGAUAGCGCACAAGUAGAGUGAUCGAAAGAUGAAAAGAACUCUGAACAGAGAGUUAAAUAGUACGUGAAAUUGUUGAAAGGGAAGCACUUGCUACCAGACACGCCUGUAGUUGAUCAACCUCCAUUUUUGGUGGUGCACUCGGCUAUAGGUGGGUCAGCAUCAGUUACAACGGUGGGAUAAAGACUUUGGGAAUGUAGCUUCUUUCGGGAAGUGUUAUAGCCCUUGGUGUAAUACCAUCUGAUGUGACUGAGGCCCGCGCUUCGGCGAGGAUGCUGGCAUAAUGGUCGUAAGUGACCCGUCUUGAAACACGG
rnacentral:rRNA from 1 species